rnacentral:rRNA from 1 species
GAUGAACGCUGGCGGCGUGCCUAAUACAUGCAAGUCGAGCGAACAGAUGAGGAGCUUGCUCCUCUGACGUUAGCGGCGGACGGGUGAGUAACACGUGGAUAACCUACCUAUAAUACGGGGAUAACUUCGGGAAACCGGAGCUAAUACCGGAUAAUAUAUUGAACCGCAUGGUUCAAUAGUGAAAGACGGUUUUGCUGUCACUUAUAGAUGGAUCCGCGCCGCAUUAGCUAGUUGGUAAGGUAACGGCUUACCAAGGCGACGAUGCGUAGCCGACCGGAGAGGGUGAUCGGCCACGCUGGAACUGAGACACGGUCCAGACUCCUACGGGAGGCACCAGUAGGGAAUCUUCCGCAAUGGGCGAAAGCUUGACGGAGCAAAGCCGCGUGAGUGAUGAAGGUCUUCGGCUCGUACAACUCUGUUAUUAGGGAAGAACAAAUGUGUAAGUAACUAUGCACGUCUUGACGGUACCUAAUCAGAAAGCCCCGGCUAACUACGUG